CGGAAAUUGGUUUUUUUAAAUUUUUAGUUUGGGGGCUUGGGGAAGGGGAAAUUUUUUUUUUUCUGA
rnacentral:tRNA from 1 species